rnacentral:lncRNA from 1 species
GGAGGUAGAGCUUUUGGAAACAGAUGCUUCAGAAGAAUUGUAAUAUUAGGUACUAUCUGCCUUUAAGAAAAUAGAAGCAGCUGGUGUGGUGGCUCAUGCCUGUAAUCCCAGCACUUUGGGAGGCCAAGGUAGGUGGAUCACCUGAGGUUAGGAGUUCGAGACCAGCCCGGCCAACAUGGUGAAACACCGUCUCUACUAAAACUACAAAAAUUAGCUGGGUGUGGUGGCACACGCCUGUAAUCCUAGCUACUCAGGAGGCUGAGGCAGGAGAAUUACUUGAACCCGGGAGGUGGAGUUGCAGUGACCCGAGAUCAUGCCACUGCAUUCCAGCCUGGGAGACAGAGCGAGACUCUGUCCAAAAAAAAAGAAAAGAAAAGAAAAGAAAAUAGAAGCUAGGACCAGUUAUGGUGGCUCAUGCCUGUAAUCCUAGUGGUUUGGGAGGCCAAGGUGGGAGAACGGCUUGAGGCCAGGAAUUCCUGAUCAGCCUGAUCAAUGUAGUGAGACUCCAUCUCUACAAAAACAAAAACAACAACAACAAAAAAGUAGCUGGUCAUGGUAGUGACACGUAUCUGUCGUCCUAGCUACUCAGGAGGCUGAAAUGGGAGGAUUGCUUAAGCCCAGGAGUUUGAGGCUGCAGCUAGCUAUGAUUGAUUGCUCCACUGCAGUCCAGCCUGGUUGACAGAGCUGUAAAGAAAAGAAAAGAAAAGAAAAGAAAAGAAAAGAAAAGAAAAGAAAAGAAAAGAAAAGAAAAGAAAAGAAAAGAAAAGAAAAGAAAAGAAGAAAAGAAAAGAAAAGAGAAGAGAAGAGAAGAGAAGAGAAGAGAAAAGAAAAGAAAGGAAAGGAGAGAAAGAGAAAGAGAAAGAGAAAGGAAAUGUAAAAAGUAAAGUUGAGGUUCCUCUUCAAAGACUUUCCUCCCCAUCUAAUUAGGAAUAAAUAGUAACUUCUCUUAGAAGCAAAAUUUAUUCAAAGACUUGUGCUAAUAUUCUUAAAUAUCUGCUAGCUGUAAUAAAGAAAUCAAUGUACUUUAUGUUCUUACCUCCCACAAUUUAGCCUAAAUAUUUGCCCUAGCAUGCUUAUACUAGUCCAAGCAAGCAUUAGGUCAUAGCCUGUUCCUCUU